UUCCUGGCAGUCCAGUGGUUAGGACUUGGCACUUUCGCUGCCGUGGCCUGGGUUCCAUCCCUGGUCAGGGAA
rnacentral:tRNA from 1 species